CAGCUAACCUCUAUGCGGUGCUUCUCCAACAAGCUCUUCAUCAAUUCGAGCCACCUGUGCCGCUACAGAUUAGUUUGCAUUUGGGCUGAACUCUAUAUGCAUUUUUCUUUCACAAACCAGUUGCAAAUCCAAACAAUCUGCUGCAUGAGCAUCUUCUGGCCACUGUGAAUUCUGAAAAGUUCUCAACGCAGCUUAAAUCCCUCUAUGAUGAAUCUAUUGAUGGAAUUGGCUCCGAAUUUCCUUUUUAAGGAGGCCUCAGGUUUCCCCCUUCCCUUCAAUUAGUGGAUUCUAUAUCUAUUUUCUAUAGAUUUCUAUAUUACAUGAUAGAAUCUAAGUUAAGUUUAAUCUAAUUAAUUUCAGUGAAGAAACUGAUCUGUGUAAGUUGAGCGUGAUUUUCAAUCCAAGAAAUUUAGUUCUAUUUAAGGAUCAAAUUUCAGAUUAAAUUUUGGAGAGAGAGAGAGAGAGAGGGAGUAUUACUAUUGAUUCGAUAGUGCUUGAAUAUUUAUUGAACUGAUUGAUUCCGAUAGUUAAAUUAGACACUUCAUUCUUAAAUAGACUCACACAGUUAAUGAUCAAUGAAGGAGGAAACUUGGUAAUGGUGACUUUCUAAUAUUGUUUCUGGAAAAAAGGAUCGAUUUUUGUAAGAAAAUUUUAUCUACUAUGAAGAGUCUAUGCUGUGAACUCAGUGCUGUUUGUUCUGUUCUCUAUAUGUGCAAUUUGAGUUUAUAAAAUUUAAUCUGAUGAAAAAAAAUACAUAUUUAGGAGGGAAAGUGAAUGAUAUGGAAGGGGAAGAGUUAGUUCACAUCCUGUUUGGUGGAACUGACCCAAAAAAAAAAAGAAUUUGAU